GACGAACGCUGGCGGCGUGCUUAACACAUGCAAGUCGAACGGAAAGGCCCUGCUUUUGUGGGGUGCUCGAGUGGCGAACGGGUGAGUAACACGUGAGUAACCUGCCCUUGACUUUGGGAUAACUUCAGGAAACUGGGGCUAAUACCGGAUAGGAGCUCCUGCUGCAUGGUGGGGGUUGGAAAGUUUCGGCGGUUGGGGAUGGACUCGCGGCUUAUCAGCUUGUUGGUGGGGUAGUGGCUUACCAAGGCUUUGACGGGUAGCCGGCCUGAGAGGGUGACCGGCCACAUUGGGACUGAGAUACGGCCCAGACGCCUACGGGAGGCAGCAGUGGGGAAUAUUGCGCAAUGGGCGGAAGCCUGAUGCAGCAACGCCGCGUGCGGGAUGACGGCCUUCGGGUUGUAAACCGCUUUCGCCUGUGACGAAGCGUGAGUGACGGUAACGGGUAAAGAAGCACCGGCUAACUACGUG
rnacentral:rRNA from 1 species